UAAGAAAAUACCAUAUGGAAAUCUACACCCAACUACAAAGGCUCAGCAAAAAGUAAAUCUUCAAAAGAACAGAUUUAAAACAACAUUUCCAUACGACCAUACACGGGUUGUGUUAGAACCAGGUCAUGGAAAGUCUUCAGAUUAUAUAAAUGCUAACUACUUAGAUGGUUUCAAAAAGGAAAAGUGUUAUAUAGCAUCUCAAGGUAUACUA